rnacentral:lncRNA from 1 species
GAAAGAUCUCCCAUGCUCAUGGAUUGGCAGGAUUAAUUUAGUAAAAAUGGCCAUUUUACCAAAAGCAAUCUACAGAUUCAAUGCAAUCCCCAUCAAAAUACCAAUCCAAUUCUUCAAAGAGUUAGACAGAACAAUUUGCAAAUUCAUCUGCAAUAACAAAAAACCCAGGAUAGCUAAAGCUAUCCUCAACAAUAAAAGGACUUCAGGGGGAAUCACUAUCCCUGAACUCAAGCAGUAUUACAGAGCAAUAGUGAUAAAAACUGCAUGGUAUUGGUACAGAGACAGACAGAUAGAGCAAUGGAAUAGAAUUGAAGACCCAGAAAUG